rnacentral:tRNA from 1 species
AAGCAUCUGUGGCCGAGUGGCUUAAGGCAACGGACUCAUAAUUCGUCGACAGGAAUUGUCUUCGCUGGUUCGAAUCCAGCCGGAUG